AUUCUAUCAUUUUUCGGUACUCACAUUGAUUCGACCAUUUUUUUGUAAUCGCCGGGACAGUUUUUUGAUACUCGCACGGAUUCUAUCUUUUCCCGGUAGUCUCCCGGAUUUUACUAUUUUUCGUUAAUCACACUGAUUCGACCCUUUUCUGGUACUCGUCAGGACAAUUUUUUGAUACUCGCAUGGAUUCUACCUUUCCCGGUACUCGCCCGGAUUCUAUCAUUUUUCGGUACUCACAUUGAUUCGACUAUUUUUUUGUAAUAGCCGGGACAGGUUUUCGAUACUCGCACGGAUUCUACCUUUUCCCGGUACUCUCCCGGAUUCUACUAUUUUUCGUUACUCACACUGAUUCGACCCUUUUCUGGUACUCGUCAGGACAAUUUUUUGAUACUCGCAUGGAUUCUACCUUUUCCCGGUACUCGCCCGGAUUCUAUUAUUUUUCGGUACUCACAUUGAUUCGACCCUUUUUUUGUAAUCGCCGGGAAAGUUUUUCCAUACUCGCACGGAUUCUACCUUUUCCCGGUACUCUCCAGGAUACAACUAUUUUUCGAUACUCACACUGAUUCGACCUUUUCCGGUACUUGUCAGGACCCUUUUCCGGUACUCGCAUGGAUUCUACCUUUUCCCGGUACUCGCCCGGAUUAUAUUAUUUUUCGGUACUCACAUUGAUUCGACGGUUUUUUGGUAAUCGCCGGGACAGUUUUUCGAUACUCGCACGGAUUCUACCUUUUCCCGGUACUCUCCCAGAUACAACUAUUUUUCGAUACUCACACUGAUUCGACCCUUUUCCGGUACUCGUCAGGACAAUUUUUCGAUACUCGCAUGGAUUCUACCUUUUCCCGGUACUCGCCCGGAUUCUAUCAUUUUUCGGUACUCACAUUGAUUCGACCAUUUUUUUGUAAUCGCCGGGACAGUUUUUCGAUACUCGCACGGAUUCUACCUUUUCCCAGUACUCUCCCGGAUUCUACUAUUUUUCGGUACUCACACUGAUUCGACCCUUCUCCGGUACUCGUCAGGACAAUUUUUCGAUACUCGCAUGGAUUCUACCUUUUCCCGGUACUCGCCCGGAUUCUAUCAUUUUUCGGUACUCACAUUGAUUCGACCAUUUUUUUGUAAUCGCCGGGACAGUUUUUCGAUACUCGAACGGAUUCUAUCUUUUCCCGGUAGUCUCCCGAAUUCUACUAUUUUUCGGUACACACACUGAUUCGACCCUUUUCCGGUACUUGUCAGGACAAUUUUUCAAUACUCUCAAGGCUUCUACCUUUUCCCGGUACUCGCCUGGAUUCUUUUAUUUUUUGGUACUCACAUUGAUUCGACCCUUUUUUGGUAAUCGCCGGGAAAGUUUUUCCAUACUCGCACGGAAUCUAUCUUUUCCCGGUACUCUCCAAGAUACAACUAUUUUUCAAUACUCACACUGAUUCGACCCUUUUCCGGUACUCGCAUGGAUUCUACCUUUUCCCGGUACUCGCCCGGAUUCAAUUAUUUUCCGGUACUCACAUUGAUUCGACCCUUUUUUGGUAAACGCCGGGACAAUUUUUCGAUACUCGCACGGAUUCUACCUUUUCCCUAUGCUCUCCCAGAUACAACUAUUUUUCGAUACUCACAUUGAUUCGAACCUUUUCUGGUACUCGUCAGGACAAUUUUUCGAUACUCGAAUGGAUUCUACCUUUUCCCGGUACUCGCCCGGAUUCUAUUAUUUUCGGUACUCACAUUGAGUCGACCCUUUUUUGGUAAUAGCUGGGACAAUUUUUCGAUACUCUCACGGAUUCUACCUUUUCUCGGUACUCUCCCGGAUACUACUAUUUUUCGGUACUCACACUGAUUCGACCCUUUUCCGGUACUCGUCAGGACAAUUUUUCGAUACUCGCAUGGAUUUUACCUUUUCCCGAUAAUCGCCCGGAUUCUAUUAUUUUUCGGUACUCACAUUGAUUCGACCGUUUUUUGGUAAUCGCCGGGACAGUUUUUCGAUACUCUCCUGGAUUCUCCUAUUUUUCGGUACUCACACUAAUUCGACCCUUUUCCGGUACUCGUUAGGACAAUUUUUCGAUACUCGAAUGGAUUCUACCUUUUCCCGGUACUCUCCCAGAUUCAAUUAUUUUUCAAUACUAACAUUGCUUCGACCCUUUUUUGGAAAUCGCCGAGACAGUUUUUCCAUACUCGCACGGAUUCUACCUUUUCCCCGCACUCUCUCGGAUUCUACUUUUUUUCGGUACACACACUGAUUCAACCCUUUUACGGUACUUGUCAGGACAAUUUUUCGAUACUCGCAAGGCUUCUACCUUUUCCCGGUACUCGCCCGGAUUCUAUUAUUUUUCGGUACUCACAUUGAUUCGACCAUUUUUUUGUAAUCGCUGGGACAAUUUUUCGAUACUCGCACCGAUUCUACCUUUUCCCAGUACUCUCCCGGAUUCUACUAUUUUUCGGUACUCACAUUUAUUCGACCCUUUUCCGGUACUCGUCAGGACAAUUUUUCGAUACUCGCAUGGAUUCUACCUUUUCCCGGUACUCGCCCGGAUUCUAUCAUUUUUCGGU
rnacentral:lncRNA from 1 species